AUGUAAAUUUUUGUGCGGAUAUUUAUUUAUUUUAAUAAUAAAUAAUUUAUGAAGUAGCCUCAGUAAUUAGUUUUAUAAAUUAAAGAAAUUUAGAAGUAGUAAUUUCAUGUAGUAUUGGCUAAAUUUGUGCCAGCAGCCGCGGUUACACGAAUAAUGCAAAUAAAAUGGGUUCGGCACGAGUUAAAUUUUGUUAAAAAAAUAAAGAUAAAUUUAUUAGGUGAAAUUUUAAAUUUAUUAAAUUUAUAAAUUAUGUUAUUAAAGCUUAUAAAUUUUAGUAAUAAACUAGGAUUAGAUACCCUAUUAUUUAAAAUGUAAAAAUUUAUGCUAAGGUAGUAGUAGUUAUGUUCUUGAAACUUAAAAAAUUUGGCGGUAUCUUAGUCUAUUCAGAGGAACCUGUCCUGUAAUUGAUAAUCCACGAUGUACCUCGCUUAAUUUUGUUUUCAGUUUAUAUACCGUCGUUAUCAGAAUAUUUUAUUAGAAUAAUAAUUUUCAAUAAUUUGUAUUAGAAUUUAUAUCAGAUCAAGGUGUAGCUAAUAGUUAAGUAGAGAUGGGUUACAAUAAGAUUACUUAGACGGAUUUAAAUUUGGAAUAUUUAAUGAAGGUGGAUUUGAUAGUAAAAUUUUAAAGAUAAAAAAUUUGAUUUUAGCUCUAAGAUAUGUACACAUCGCCCGUCGCUCUUAUUAUUAAGGUAAGAUAAGUCGUAACAUAGUAGAUGUA
rnacentral:rRNA from 1 species